rnacentral:rRNA from 1 species
CUGGAAUGUUCGAGACCUGAUCCAGCCUGCCGCGUGCAGGAAGACUGCCCUAUGGGUUGUAAACUGCUUUUACAGAGGAAGAACCACUCCCACGUGUGGGAGUUUGACGGUACUCUGCGAAUAAGGAUCGGCUAACUCCGUGCCAGCAGCCGCGGUAAUACGGAGGAUCCGAGCGUUAUCCGGAAUCAUUGGGUUUAAAGGGUCCGUAGGCGGGCAAUUAAGUCAGUGGUGAAAGUCUUCCGCUCAACGGGAGAACUGCCAUUGAUACUGAUUGUCUUGAGUUAUUAUGAAGUGGUUAGAAUGAGUAGUGUAGCGGUGAAAUGCAUAGAUAUUACUCAGAAUACCGAUUGCGAAGGCAGAUCACUAAUAAUACACUGACGCUGAUGGACGAAAGCGUAGGUAGCGAACAGGAUUAGAUACCCUGGUAGUCUACGCCGUAAACGAUGGUUACUAGCUGUUCGGCCCGAUUAAGGGUUGAGUGGUUAAGCGAAAGUGAUAAGUAACCCACCUGGGGAGUACGUUCGCAAGAAUGAAACUCAAAGGAAUUGACGGGGGCCCGCACAAGCGGUGGAGCAUGUGGUUUAAUUCGAUGAUACGCGAGGAACCUUACCAGGGCUUAAAUGUAGUCUCCAGGACUGGAAACAUUUU